rnacentral:rRNA from 1 species
UUGGGAAUCUUGCACAAUGGGGGAAACCCUGAUGCAGCGACGCCGCGUGGAGGAUGACGGAUUUAGGUCUGUAAACUCCUUUUAUCGGGAAAGACUUAGGACGGUACCCGAUGAAUAAGGACCGGCUAACUACGUGCCAGCAGCCGCGGUAAGACGUAGGGUCCGAGCGUUGUCCGGAUUUACUGGGCGUAAAGAGCGCGUAGGCGGCCUGUUAAGUGUGAAGUGAAAUCUCCAGAGCUCAACUCGGAAAUUGCUUCGCAUACUGACAGGCUUGAGGAAUGCAGAGGUAAGUAGAAUUCCUGGUGUAGCGGUGACAUGCAUUGAUAUCAGGAGGAAUACCCAUGGCGAAGGCAGCUUACUGGGCAUUAUCUGACGCUGAGGCGCGAAAGCGUGGGGAGCAAACAGGAUUAGAUACCCGCGUAGUCC